rnacentral:rRNA from 1 species
AUACGGAGGGUGCAAGCGUUACUCGGAAUCACUGGGCGUAAAGCGCGCGCAGGCGGCUAUUUAAGUUGGAUGUGAAAGCCUAUGGCUCAACCAUAGAACUGCAUCCAAAACUAUUUAGCUAGAGUGUGGGAGAGGAAGAUGGAAUUAGUUGUGUAGGGGUAAAAUCCGUAGAGAUAACUAGGAAUACCAAAAGCGAAGGCAAUCUUCCGGAACACUACUGACGCCGAGGCGCGAAAGCGUGGGGAGCAAACAGGAUUAGAAACCCCAGUAGUCC